rnacentral:rRNA from 1 species
UACGAAGGGGGCUAGCGUUGUUCGGAAUCACUGGGCGUAAAGCGCACGUAGGCGGCUUUUUAAGUCAGAGGUGAAAUCCUGGAGCUCAACUCCAGAACUGCCUUUGAUACUGGAGAGCUUGAGUCCGGGAGAGGUGAGUGGAACUGCGGGUGUAGAGGUGAAAUUCGUAGAUAUUCGCAAGAACACCAGUGGCGAAGGCGGCUCACUGGCCCGGUACUGACGCUGAGGUGCGAAAGCGUGGGGAGCGAACAGG